UUCAAGUAAAAUAUUUAGGUCACCUAAUUUCAGGAAGUAGAUUACAAAUUAGAUUCAGAACUGAUACAAGGCAUCUUACAAUUUCUUAACUUCAAGUUCACUGUCACUCCAUGGUUUCUUGGAUUUGCCAGUUAUGGCUGCAACAAUAUCCCAAACUUCUGGCCCAACCCUUAUAUGCUUUACUUAAAACCACUAAACCUGAUCUCUUUGUUUGGAGAGACCUUGAAGACAUGGCUUGGCUAACUAUCAACUCUCCUUCUUCUUUUUUUUAAUAUUUAUUUUUAAAUUAUAGGUGGAUACAAUAUCUUUAUUUUAUAUUUAUAUAGUGCUGAGGAUAGAACCCAGUGCCUUAAACAUGCUAGGUCAGCACUUUACCUCUGAUCCACAGCCCCAGCCCCUCAACUCUCUUUCUUCUGUUUUGUGUAUGAAAAGGAAAGAAAUGCCCUGAAAUUUUUCCCCUCAGUGGCAGGAAUACAACCAAGACUUUACAUAUGCUAGGCAUGUCAAUCAUUACUGAUCCAUGGGGUAUAAGAAUCAGAAACUGAGGUCAGAUGCUCAUGGUUCCUCCCCUUGUCUGUGGGCUGUCCCUGCUAUAGCACUAUUGGUCAAAUCCACUAAAGAAAUCAUCUCUGGAGCUCUGUUGGCCAUUUUUGUUCCUAUUGCUGUGGAAUCUCUUUGAAAGUGUCUUCAUACUUAACAUCUUACUUUAGUUUUCUCAACUAACAUGAAAUCCUAUUAACCACUCCAUUUGACUCUUCAAAGGAUUUACAGGACACUUCCUUGAACAAUGCUGAGAUGUCCUGGUUCACGGAUGCCUCAUACUUAAAAGGCAAUACUGGUAAAUAUUAUGCAGGUCAUUAAUAUUAGUCCCUUUGAAAUUAAGGAAGCAACCUCUUAACUUUCAGUUUUUUUGCCCAGCAGAUGGAAAUGUUUGCCCUAGUUGAGCAUGCUCUCUUGCUAAAGGAAAAGCUGCUAACACUUAUGUAGACACUAGGUAUGCACUAGAUAUGGUCAUGAUUUAGGAAUAUUAUGGAAGCUGACAAGUUGCCUCACUUCUAGCAGAGACAAAAUAUAAGAAUGGGC
rnacentral:lncRNA from 1 species